AAGAGAAGAGAAGAGAAGAGAAGAGAAGAGAAGAGAAGAAUGACUUAUAGCUUCAAGCCACAAGUAGCAUAAGGAAAAAAAAAGAAUGGGGGAGGGGCUUAAGGAUUAUGUUUACUUUCUCCAGUAAGAUCCUUCUCCUACAUACAUCAUGCCAUUUAAAACAUAAAACCACAAUAUUUGGGUUCUAAUAUGGCUGGGGUUUGCUCCUCAUACUACCAAAUACAUCUUUAAAGUGUUUAACUCAACAAUUCAGACUAUGAGCAGAAAACCUUAUAGAAGACACAGAGAAAACAACAACAAAAACCAGCUCUAAUCUUUCUCAGACCCAGCACAAUGCAACCCUUCCUGUCACUGAGGAAAGAACAGGAAAGGAACUGCUUCAGGGCAAGCAGAGGCACUGCCCAGUCAAUCUGGCAGCUUGGAUACUCUGUGGUGUAAAGCGCUUUCACUGUCUGCACCGCACUGAGAAGAACGGCCAGAAACGUGGACUAACAACUGAGAUUCGGGCAGAAGCAGGAAACUCCCAGGC